GGGGGAGUGAAAAUUGAUCGCAAUCACCUCUUUUAUUUAUAAUUGGUGUAUACUCAAGACUCUUUUUAAGACUACAUUAUUGUCUCUAACCGAAGUCAAAAAUAAACAGACAUAAUUUUUAUAAAUACCUACCCAUAUUUUACUAAAUUGUAAAAAUAUUCAAACACUUGGUCAAUUUCAUGAAAAAGCCUGGUAUGAAAGUACUCAAGACUCAACUGAAAAGGAGUUGUUGGCAGCCAGUAUUUAUAUUGUGUACUCAUAGGUGUAUUAUGAUGGUUUUCUGUUAGGGUGCCUUAAUAGCCUUAACAAAAUUGUUUUCAAGGAUACAUAUCUACUUGUCGGUACUGUUAUGGUGUUACCCCUCCCUUAAAAGCAUAAGGUUAUUAUGAGGCAUACACAGGAGAGGAUUUUGGGAGUUUAAUCACCUCAAGAACUUUUAGUUUAUUAAUUUUGUGUUUAAUUAUAAUCAACAUAUUAGGUGCAUAAAAAUAUUUUAUAAAAUAAAACACUAACAUUUUCACUUGCAUAUUAUGCACUUUAUGUAUGCCCUAUAGGUACAUAUGAAGAGCUACGGGGAAAAACGAUAAUAGUAAAAAAAAAAAAAAAUAGGAUAAUUAUAUCAUCUUGUCAUUUGUUUCUAAGUGAAUUGGUAUGUAAAUCGAUUUGGGGAAUAAAGAUCACGGUCAGUGAUAUAAAAUAGGUUUAAAUAUACCUAUGACAGCAAAACAAGAUCAUAGUUUGA